UACGCAGGGGGCAAGCGUUGUCCGGAAUUAUUGGGCGUAAAGAGCGUGUAGGCGGCCAGGUAGGUCUGCUGUGAAAACUCGAGGCUCAACCUCGAGACGUCGGCGGAAACCAUCUGGCUAGAGUCCGGAAGAGGAGAGUGGAAUUCCUGGUGUAGCGGUGAAAUGCGCAGAUAUCAGGAAGAACACCCGUGGCGAAGGCGGCUCUCUGGGACGGUACUGACGCUGAGGAGCGAAAGCGUGGGGAGCGAACAGG
rnacentral:rRNA from 1 species